rnacentral:lncRNA from 1 species
ACCUCAACCCCGCCUCCCUGACGUCGCGACGCCGACGCCCUGUCCUCGUCCUCCUCCCCGCCGGCCCCCUCGACCCUCGUCACCCCCGCACCUCCCCGAGUCGCCCUCGAAUUCCCCGGUGAGCUCCCGCGGCUGCUACCCCUUCCCCCUCCUUGUUUGACCGUCGUAGGACGUCGUCCACGCCACCUAUUCUUUUGACCGAAGGUGCAGCCGCCGUGCGCCCUCAUCGCGGUCACCGCGGCGGUUGACGCGCUCCCACGCUCCCGUGGUCUCGCUUGCCGCGCACCGGCUAUGCCCGGGCUGCGCUGUUGCCGCUAUCACCGCCGCUCCUCUCCUACUGAUGUCGCGUUGUUGCACCCCCGUCCCCCUACAGGCUCACCUGGCUGGCGCCACCGACGCCGUUGCCUCUAGCUACAGCCAGUGCCACGCGCCGCCGCUCGUCGUCCGUGCUGUAGGUUGUGGCCGCCAGCGCCCCUGGGCGUGAAGCACAGCUUCGGCCAUAGCCGGCCGUGCCUCCGCCUGAUGGGCUGGCCCCUGCUUAGAUUAGCCACCAAAUCCCCCCUAACCCCCUGACCAUCGGCCCCCACCACUCUAAUUAACUAUGGUUAAAACUUUACCUCUGUUAAAUUCUGUUGCACUGACAACUGCCCCCCACCACUUAAUCGACCCUCUGUUAAAAUAAACUACUAGUUAAAACUAAUUAACUUUUAGUUAUUUUCGCUGACAUGUGGACCCCGCUGUAAAUUAAAUUGAUAGAUUAAAUUAAAAAUGCCUAAGUCUAUGACAGCAGGGACCCACCCUUACUAUUCACCUUUUGACCAGUCAAAUGUUGAUGGGUCAACUGGGACCCCCGGCCCACCUGUCAGCCAUUGGGUACACUUUUGUGUACACUGUGUUGGGUGUGCCUAGCAUUUUAGCUUUUUUCGAAUUGAAAUUAAUUUCAGAAUAGUAUUAAAACUUUGAAAAAAUUAUAGUAAAUUAACCGUAACUCGUAUCGAAAAACUUUGUACAUGAAAGUUGCUCAGAACGACGAGACGAAUCUGAACUCGCGUUUCAUUCGUCCGCUACACGUCCCUAGCAUAACAAACGUUGAACUUUUCCACUCUGGUUCAUCUGUCUAACAGACGUCCGGAACCGGGAAUACUUUUCCGGAUGUUUCCCCCUUCACCGGUAUCGUGUAAUACUGCGUUAGAACACCCCUAGCACCGUGUAUCUUCUUGUCGUGCUUAAUGUUUCUAGUGUGUGCUUUAUACUUACUGUUUCUUCCCCCUCUUCUCUCCGGUAGACCCCGAGACUGAUGCUCCCCCUGUGAUCGAAUACGUCGACGACGACCCUCCUUCUUGUCUGAGCAACCAGGCAAGCCCCCCCUUUGAUCAUCCCGAUAUCGCCCAUUCUAUACUCUCAUGCUUGCAUUAGAUUUUGCUACUGUAAUUGUUUGCUCCUAUUCUGAUGCAUAGCCUGCUUUUGUACAUGCUUAUUGUUACCUACCUGCUUAUCCUAAACUGCUUAGUAUAGGUUGGUUAGUGAUCCAUCAGUGACCCCCACCUUGUCCUUGUUGCCCCUGCUUCAUCAUCGACGACCCGAUCAACGUGAUCGACGACCAGAGCCUGACACCUCACAUCACAUCCCGCCCCUUUAGUUUCUCAACUCUGCAGAGCUACUAUCAAGUGCCGAUUGUGAUCCCUCAUAACGCACUCCUGAUGAUAAUUCUGUAGUGUAGCUAUUUGGUCGUGGUCAUCGAGGGUGAUUUCCUCUUUCACCAUUCUCGAUACGGCUCUGUCAUUCAACACCUCAAGUGUGAACCUCGAGGGUGGUCCCUCUUACGUUCACCUUGAUGAUUACAUUGAGUGGAAUCAACCGGGGGUGAUUCCUCGUGUUUUCCCCUUGAUGUUUGGACACACGGUUACCUUGACUUUACUUGAGACCUUGGUGGAAGUCGGGCGGGCCCGGAGAGCACCCGCAAGAUAAUGACGUGGCACGUCCAGGCAUUCUAGGCCCUUGUCGUAAGUCCACGAGACAUGGCGACGGGGUCACUUUCGAUCGUGAGUCUCUGCUCGUCUCCGCAAGCUAAUAAUACACUAUGGUUUGGGUAUUUGUUCUGAGUUGACCUUUGUCCUUUACGCAACAACCACCACGUGAGAAUAGUUAUGGGCCUCGAUGUCGCAGUAUCAGCCGAAGCUUUGUCACACGUCCAGUUCAGCAUUGUGGGCCUGUCGGGCCAGUGUCAUCCAGUAUGAGGUGGUGCUCGUCCCGGCCCGACGGACAACGACCCGGAGUGCAACGGGCGAUGGGCCCAGACCCCGGAGUGCUUAGGAUGUAGACCGGCGGGGACCUCUCUACUGAGCCUAGGUAGGGCUACGUUGUGUUGAUCUUCCGAGGCCGGGCAUUGACCCCAGAAAGGUGUGUCCGGCCAGAGUGAUCGAGCGUGUUGGAAAAUGUGGUGCACCCCUGUAGGGAAGAUUAUCUAUUAAUAGCCGUGUCCACGGUAACGGACGUUCAGACUUAUAUCCUGAUCUUAUACAACUACAAAUGGAUACUUGAAUAUGUGGCUCCGGGAUUGCUUUCUCGCUGGGAGUCGAGGAAGGAUCUCUGGGCGUUAAUGUUACAACAUGCUUGUUAAUUAUAAACUGCUAUUCUUUACUCAUCUAUACGCUGCAAGAUGCUUGGAGCUGCUUGAAGAUGCUAGUCUUUGAUAGGCUAGGCUUUCCCCUCUAUUCUGGCAUUCUGCAGUUCAGUCCACAGAUACAAACUUUCCAUUUGAUACCAGUGCAUACUUAGUAUAGAUCUGAUGCUUGCGAGUACUUUGGAUGAGUACUCACGGUUGCUUUGCUACCCCUUUUCCCCCUUCUUUCUUCUUUUCGGUUGAUGCAACCAAAUGGUUGAUCCAUGGAGCCAGAUGCCACCGCUGAUGGAUACUGCUACAUGAAGACCACCGACGACCAGGAGUAGUUAGGAGGUCCCAGGCAGGAGGCCUUGCCUCUUCGAUCAUGUUGCUUUUGUUCUAGCCUUCUUAAGGCACCCUUGUUUAAUUUAUGUCCGUACUCAGAUAUUGUUGCUUCUGCUGACUCUUGUGUAUCGAGCUAUGUAUUCGAGCCCUCGAGGCCCCUGGCUUGUAAUAUAAAACUUGUAUUAAUUUGAUUUGUGUCUAGAGUUGUGUUGUGAUAUCUUCCCGUGAGUCCCUGAUCUUGAUCGUACACAUUUGUGUGUAUGAUUAGUGUACGGUCGAAUUGGGGGCGUCACAAGUUGGUAUCAGAGCCGACUGCCUGUAGGAAUCCCCCUUUCCAAC